UACGUAGGGUGCAAGCGUUAUCCGGAAUUACUGGGCGUAAAGAGCUCGUAGGCGGUUUGUUGCGUCUGCCGUGAAAGUCCGGGGCUCAACUCCGGAUCUGCGGUGGGUACGGGCAGACUAGAGUGAUGUAGGGGAGAGUGGAAUUCCUGGUGUAGCGGUGAAAUGCGCAGAUAUCAGGAGGAACACCGAUGGCGAAGGCAGUUCUCUGGGCAUUAACUGACGCUGAGGAGCGAAAGCAUGGGGAGCGAACAGG
rnacentral:rRNA from 1 species